CACGUAGGGGGCAAGCGUUGUCCGGAUUUAUUGGGCGUAAAGAGCUCGUAGGCGGUUCGGUAAGUUGGGUGUGAAACCUCCAGGCUCAACCUGGAGACGCCACCCGAUACUGCUGUGACUAGAGUCCGGUAGGGGAGCGUGGAAUUCCUGGUGUAGCGGUGAAAUGCGCAGAUAUCAGGGGGAACACCAGCGGCGAAGGCGGCGCUCUGGGCCGGAACUGACGCUGAGGAGCGAAAGCGUGGGGAGCAAACAGG
rnacentral:rRNA from 1 species